AGGUGGAUUAUUUUUCUCUCUGUGAAAGAUAAGUGAAUCUCCACCUUUUUCCCAACUUGAAAGUAUUUUAAUUUCCAGAACUGAGAAUAUUUUUUCGCACAUCUAAAAACAUAUGUCAGCUCUUGGAUUUAACAAUGAAAGAAGAUGGUAGUUUUCUUUUUUUUCUUCCUUUUCAAUCUUCCAGUCAGAAGUUUUUUUUCUUCUAAUACUUCUGCUGUGAACUGUGGGAAAUCAUGAACUAAGCCUCUGUCUUUUCCACCCCCUUCUUCACUGGGCUAAAGGUUUCUCUUGAGCCUGAUAUCCACCAUACAGCAUUGGUUUUAAUUCUUAUAGCUUGUUCAUUGUAGGAGUUUUUACAGGCUGAAAGACAACCUUGGUUAUGCUUCUCAUUAUUUUCAUUUUUAUUUUGAGGACUAGGUAAUCUGCUCCUAAUGAAGCAAAACUAUAAGCUUCAUUGAUGCUUAAUAAAAGCUUUAUUUUUGUUUGUUUGUUUCUUUUUGUUUUCUGCAGUGGUUUGAUAUUUUGUACCUCUCUCUUUGUCUGUCUUGCCCACUGCAAGCUUGGAAUGGGAGUGAACUCUGCUUUUCCCUUGGCUCCAUUUCCCCAGGGAUUCUUGCUUGUGCAAAAGAGCCUGUGCUUGGAAGGGCUCCAGACUUGCUGCACCAUUCGGAGCUGCUGCUUCCUGGCUCUCCCUUCAGGUGAUGCAAGCUCUGGACGGGCACUAGAGCACUUUUCAUGCCUCCUUGGCCCAGAUACGCAGUGACAGAGUAUGUUUUGGAAGGAAAAAGGUGUGCUAGUUGUCAAUAUGUGUCCUGCUUUGGAAAACAUCCCGUGAUAUCACACACCUCAUUCUUCUUUUGUGUGGUCACUACCGAUCCUCAUUCUUAAAGUUCUCGCUUUCAUUCAUCAACCAUCAUAAAGUACUGUUUCCACUUGGAACAUUUUGUGUCUUUGAAGGCAUUUUUAGAGCUGUUUUCUGCAAUAGUUUGAUAUUUUGGUGUGAUGUAAAUAAAGGCAGCUGUUCACCAGUGCAACAUGUAUAUUGAAGCACAUUGAUGUGGCCCCAACACAGUGUGAAUGCUGCAUGAAGUUCUUUCGGUAUUUAGGUCCAGUGGGUCUGACUGAGUUUUAAAAGCAAUAUGCAGUGAGACAUGGAUACUUCCUCUACUGUGAUGUUGUUCUCUAGGAUCAUUCAAGAUCAUGUUCACAAUGCCUGAUUCCUGGAUAUCAGUACAGAACAAGCUCAAAACCUAGCUGCUCAACACAAAGGGAAACAAGAAAUUAACUUUUAAGUAUUUCCUUACAUUAUUUUUGUGCUAAAUCUAUUUACUCCUACUUUGUUUUAAUUAUCAAAACACUAAUUUUUUUUAAUGUUUGCACGGUAGAGGGAGCUGGAAGUUUAAAAUAUGUAUUCAGUGUGUAACUGUUGCCUGUAAAGACGAGAAAUGUCAGUGGAAUAACAAAUGAGGUUUUACCAUUGCAGGAAGAUGAUGGACAUUUAUUCCAAGCCAUUAAGUUAAAUGAGUCAGAGGAUUUUAAGUCAGUGGUGUUAAUGGUCUUACCUGGGAGCACUACCAUGAGACAACAGAGGCUGCUCAACCAUAUGCUUUGCAGCUGAUUUUAUUAAACUACAGCUGGCAUUGGCACCUUGAUGCUGUUUGUGUUCAGAAAUACUCAUUUAAUGGAAAAAUUUAAAUAUAUAUAUUUCAGUUACCUUUUAAUUAAAUAAUAUUUCCAGAUUCUGUAAGUGUUGAGGUUUUUUUCCUCCAUCUUUGUAUUUUAGUUGCUGUCAAACUCGUUUCAGUUGAGCCUGAGAUUCAGUCCAUUGGAGCUGCCAGUAUAAAAGCACAUGUACUUGCCCUUGAGCCUAUUUCUAUGAACACAAUCUUCUCCCAUCUCCAUUAGACUAAACUAUUUAUGGAAAAUCCAUUUUGAUAAAACCAGGCAAGGGAGAGGGUGCAUGUUUAGCUGGUCUGUUAGAGUUAGAAGAAAGUGUUAUCUCUUGCCGUCCCAGAGCUCCAGGCACCAUGCACAUCUUAAUGAAAAGCCCCUCAGUCAGUGUUUAUUUCCAACACACAUGGGAAUCAUCAAGAAACCUUCUGAAAACCAAAAAGCCCUAUUUUCCUCACUGUUCUUUGACUGCGUUAGAAAAAUUACCUACCUGGCAACUCUACCUGAUCCUGCCAUUUCAGAGGCAUCUCUGACCACAUGCAGAGAAAUAUAGAGCAGCAUCCCUACUCUGGUGAGGGUAGAACUUCUUUUAAGCAAUUCACCUGGGGCUCAGCUGCUUUCUUAAUUGCAGAGAGGGUCCAGCUUAACUUGGUGCUGUUUGGGGCACAUCUGCUGCAUGGCCUCUGCUGGGUGGGAGUAGCAGAGUAUAGCAGAGGAGCUGAGGAGACCUCAACACACAGCUUGGGCACAUCAUUAUACCACAUCUGACCAAAGCUGCAAUGACGUCUGGGGGUGCGAGUUCUUGUGGCUCUUACAGUUGGAGGAGCGUAAUUUUUCCUUCAUAUCCCUUGUCUGUGAAUUAGAGAGAUCUAGCGGUAAUGUAAGUGUACAAAGGUGUCUACAAAAGGCAGAUGAGGAACAGCUUUGAAGGAUCUUUAAAGUGAAGACAGUAAAUUUAAGCAGUAGGACUUCCUUAUUGUGAUGAGCUGGUGGGAGUGCCUGACACUGAUGGCAAAAGUGUUUAUUGUGAAUUGAGUUAAUAGAGGAUGUGACAGAAUGAGAGCUCUAGCUGCAUGGACAGUCACAUCUCAGGGAAGGGGAGAGAAAGGCACAGAAAAGAUCAACACUUUGAUUUGUGAGCUUAAAGAUGAGCUUAAAUUUGUAAGUGGCACUUUGGAAACAGAAUAUAGCACUUUUAUAUCAGAUCUGUGCUGUUGUUACCUGUAUUAUUAAAAGAGAAGGCUUUAUAAGCAAUUAUUUAAUCACAAUAUAUCAUUUACUCUGCUGUUUCUUUGCAGGUGACUGCAGGAAUGACAGUUUAGGCUGUUACCACAGGGUGUCUCUCCUUGGUAGAGUUUGGCAUUCUAUCUGCUAUGACCCAUAUAGUUUUCCCCGCUGAUAAUUACUUUCUCUUAUCUGGUCAAGAAAAUUCCCUUCAAAGGAUUUCUUUGAUUGAGGAAAUUCAUUAAUAUGAUCUUGAGAUAAUGUUAAUGCUUCUUUGCUUGAGUCUUCUCAGUUACUGUUUGAACAGCACAUUUUUCCAUAGUUUAUUAAGGAAGAUUAGCAUCUUUUGAUGUUUACUUUAAUGGAAGACCUUCUAUCAAUUAAUUAAUAUUUUCUAGGUUCCAGAAAAAAAAAGUAGUCGGGAAAAGUAAAUCUGUGUAUUAUUAUUGCAGGAAACAUCUGUGCCCAUCUCUUAACACAGAUGUAUGUAAACCCUUGGAAGUGUUCACCCAAGGAAUGAUCUCAUGCUCAGGCUUCCUGAGCCCAUCUCACAAAUUGUCAUACUCAUAAUCAGCAAAACAGGCAAAUGAAAGAAAUGUUCAGGAAAUUAAGGUCCUUUUGGCUCUACGAGGAGCACUUAAAAGGUGUGAUUGUUAAUAGUUCCCAUGAGAUGGCUCCCGAGGUACAGAGGUGAUGCAGUGCAGAGUGAUGCAGAUAAGGUUCAUGACCAGCAACUCUAUCAUGUCGUAAAACACUACUGCAAAGAACAACAAAACUGUAACUUUAGCCCAGACUCCACCGAGGAUAAACAUCACCAUAGGGAGCACAUACACCAAGAGCGAUGUUAUAUAACGUGCCUGUGAGCACAUACGCAAAUGAAAUAACAUGGUGACUAGCAACUACUAAACCGAUACAAUUGUUGCUUGUAAUUAAUUUGUUUUAACAUGCUCUGAUCAGGUCUGUUUUUAUCUCAAUCCUCUGGGCCCUAUGUUGGGCACCAAAAAGGUCUGUCAUUGUUCAACUGCAGCCCCAACUAAGUACCACACAGCUGCUACCUCACUACCCUUGCCCCAGUGGAGAGGAGAAUUGGAAAGAAUAGAAUUAGAAUAGCAGUGUUCUGAAGAGUAGAAAAAAAAUGAACAGAGUUGGUUCCAAUAGAGGAAGAGCUGAGACAUAUGUGCAGAAGACAGAACAAGUUUAAACUAUUUGGAGAUGUUUGAGAGACAUCAUUUUCUCAAAUGAGAGUUGUGGUCACUUGGCACACUGAGAUAUUCUCUGUCAUCUGAGUGCUGCAUUUUUCCACGGAAUGGAAAUUUAUGAGAUUUCUCAUUUAAGAAGUGUCCUAGGACCUGCCUUGCUCAGCCCUAAAGCCAGUCUUUCAUGCAUCUGGGAAGGACCAUUAUUCUGUUUUCAUGGUGGGUUUAUGUUGCUGUCUCACCAAUCUCUGUGGAGUCAGCUGAAUUCCAGUGGUUAUAAAAUGAUCCUUCAGGUGGCUGUAAGACUAUUGGUAACACAAUCCUAUAAUAUCUCAGACUUCAACUCUGUAGG